rnacentral:rRNA from 1 species
UGGGGAAUUUUGCACAAUGGGGGGAACCUUGAUGCAGCGACGCCGCGUGAGGGAUGGAGGCCUUCGGGUUGUGAACCUCUUUCGCUCGUGUGCAAGCCGCUAUUUGGGUAGUGGUGAGUGUAGCGGGUAAAGAAGCGCCGGCUAACUACGUGCCAGCAGCCUCGGUAAUACGUAGGGCGCGAGCGUUGUCCGGAUUUAUUGGGCGUAAAGGGGUUGUAGGCGGUUUGUCGCGCCUGUCGUGUAAUCCUCUGGCUUAACUGGGGGUGUGCGGUGGGUACGGGCAGGCUUGGGGGCGGUAGGGGAGAUUGGAAGUCCUAGUGUAGCGGUGGAAUGCGCAGAUAUCAGGAGGAGCACCGGUGGCGAAGGCGGGUCUCUGGGCCGUUACUGACGCUGAGGAGCGAAAGCGUGGGGAGCGAACAGG